UACGUAGGGCGCAAGCGUUAUCCGGAAUUAUUGGGCGUAAAGAGCUCGUAGGCGGUUUGUCGCGUCUGCCGUGAAAGUCCGGGGCUCAACUCCGGAUCUGCGGUGGGUACGGGCAGACUAGAGUGAUGUAGGGGAGACUGGAAUUCCUGGUGUAGCGGGUGAAAUGCGCAGAUAUCAGGAGGAACACCGAUGGCGAAGGCAGGUCUCUGGGCCACUACUGACGCUGAGAAGCGAAAGCAUGGGGAGCGAACAGG
rnacentral:rRNA from 1 species